CCUUUCCCGGGAUUAAGUCAGGAGCACACAGCGACGAGCCAGCAUUUUCUGCCGUGUGUGUUAGGGUCAGCCAUGCCGGAGCCUACACUCAUCGAUCCGGUCUUGUUGAUCAUUACGUCAUCUCACGAGGCUGGGUUGUGGAUCCAUGUCCUCUCACCCGUGCUUCAGUUCAUCCCGAGGAGGUGCUCGCAGAGUGGGGUGCACAGAAGCCCCCCAAUGCACUUAUCUCCAUGGAGCUCUGCGAUCCAGGCAGUGGUCCACCUCCGUGCGAGCACUAGCAGAGGGCAGGAGCCCUGUGAACUUGAUGCGUCUACAAGCCUCGGGGAGAUUUGAUGGGCCAGUCAACUCAGGGCCCCUUUGCCAGCCUGCUACGCCUGCCCGUUUAAAUUCAGCCUUCUCGCCUGUUCUUAACACUUUGGACCCUUUCAUUUUAAUUUUCCCUUAACACAUAUAAAACAAUGCAGAGAAAUUCCUGGAAAUCAGUACGCCUCUCCUCCAAGAAGACGUGGGGUGGGUGAGUCUCUCUGCCUGGUUCCUCGCCUGCCUGCCUGCAAGACACACUGCUCAGGCCGGCCUUUGUUUCCUCGGGUUGUGAUUUACGCGGGUGGACCCUGGACAGGGAAGAGUUGCGUAUCAAUUUCGCUGGGUUACUGUGUGAAAUGACCGACGCAUGAAUGGUUAUUGCUGCCUCGGGAGCAGAUGAAAGCCCUUCCCUUCCCUGACACCGCCGCCCCUCUACUGAUGAUCAGUUAAAAAUGUAAAUAAAAAGACUGCGCUUUGGA